GCUGGGGACACAGCUCAGUUGGUAGAGUGCCUGCCUCACAUGCACAAGGCCUGGGUUCAAACCCCAGCAGCA
rnacentral:tRNA from 1 species